rnacentral:tRNA from 1 species
UCUAAUAUGGCAGAAAUCAAUAUGCAGUGAAUUUAAGAUUCAUUUAUAAAUAAAUAUAUUUUAUUAGGA